rnacentral:rRNA from 1 species
GCGCACCAGGCGAGAAACUUUACAAUGUGCGAAAGCACGAUAAGGGAACUCUGAGUGCCUCCUAAGGAGGCUGUUCAGGUGUCUAAAAGCACCUGAAGGAAGGGCUGGGUAAGACCGGUGCCAGCCGCCGCGGUAACACCGGCAGCCCAAGUGGUAGCCACGUUUAUUGGGUCUAAAGCGUCCGUAGCCGGCUGGGUAAGUUCCUUGGGAAAUUUGGCUGCUUAACAGUCAAGCUUUCAGGGAAUACUGCCCGGCUUGGGACCGGGAGAGGUCAGAGGUACUCCAGGGGUAGGGGUGAAAUCCAUUAAUCCUUGGGGGACCACCGGUAGCGAAGGCGUCUGACCAGACCGGGUCCGACGGUGAGGGACGAAGGCUAGGGGCGCGAACCGGAUUAGAUACCCCGGUAGU